rnacentral:rRNA from 1 species
UACGUAGGGUGCAAGCGUUGUCCGGAAUUAUUGGGCGUAAAGAGCUCGUAGGCGGUUUGUCGCGUCCGCUGUGAAAAUCCAGGGCUUAACCCUGGACCUGCAGUGGGUACGGGCAGACUAGAGUGCGGUAGGGGAGAUCGGAAUUCCUGGUGUAGCGGUGAAAUGCGCAGAUAUCAGGAGGAACACCGGUGGCGAAGGCGGAUCUCUGGGCCGUAACUGACGCUGAGACGCGAAAGCGUGGGGAGCGAACAGG